rnacentral:rRNA from 1 species
GAUUUCUGGCUUGAAACAUUUUGCCGGCCACGGUCUCGUGUGUUAGUGCUUGAUGUUCUGGCCAUCCUUCCAAUCGCUAUUGGCUAUUCUUCAUUGAAUGGUCAGUAGUAUUGGAUCUUUUACUUUGAAAAAAUUAGAGUGUUUCAAGCAGGCUUUAUGCUAUGAAUACAUUAGCAUGGAAUAAUAAUAUAGGACUUUGGUUCUAUUUUGUUGGUUUCUAGGACUGAAGUAAUGAUUGAUAGGGAUAGUUGGGGGUGCUAGUAUUCAGUGGCCAGAGGUGAAAUUCUUGGAUUCACUGAAGACUAACUACUGCGAAAGCAUU